rnacentral:rRNA from 1 species
AUGGUACUAACUACACCGAGUUCACUGGCUUCAUGCGCAUUCACAUGUGUGGCAUCCGUCUCUGGGGUGUUCUUUCUGGCGAGGUCUGCUGUCCGCCACGUCCAGUUCCUCCGGUGGCCCCUACUCCACCGACUCCACCGGUUCUUCCUACGGAUGCUAAUCAGGCCGCCAAGGAUGCGGCUAAGCUUGCUGAUGAGGCUGCUGCUUCGUACUUAUGAUGAGAGGGUUUUGGCUUAUGAGGAGGCUCUUCAGACGUAUCAUGGUGCUCUGUCUGUUUACACCAAGUGGCUUGAUGAUGAUGCUCGUGCUGCAGUUGUUCUCACUGCUAGUGUUCUGCCUCAGUUUGCUUCUGAGUUUCUGGGUCUUCCUACUGUCUUUGAGAUGUGGACCCGUCUUCGUCAGCGCUAUCAGCCCUCUGGUGAUGCCUUAUACCUUUCUGUGGUCCGUCAGGAGCAUGCUCUUCAGCAGGGUGACUCUACUGUUGAUGACUUCUAUGCACAGAGUUCUGCAAUCUGGCGCCAGCUUGAUUCUCUCCGCAGUGCUGGUUGUCGUACUUGCCCCUGUUGCCAGGCUGUCCAGGCCAAUUUGGAGUUUCAUCGCGUCUACGAGUUCCUGUCUCGGCUUCGUAAGGAGUUUGAGCCCCGGCGUGCUUAG